AUUGAACGCUGGCGGCAUGCUUUACACAUGCAAGUCGAACGGUAACAGGCCGCAAGGUGCUGACGAGUGGCGAACGGGUGAGUAAUGCAUCGGAACGUGCCCAGUCGUGGGGGAUAACGCAGCGAAAGCUGUGCUAAUACCGCAUACGAUCUAUGGAUGAAAGCGGGGGACCGUAAGGCCUCGCGCGAUUGGAGCGGCCGAUGUCAGAUUAGGUAGUUGGUGGGGUACAGGCCCACCAAGCCAACGAUCUGUAGCUGGUCUGAGAGGACGACCAGCCACACUAGGACUGAGACACGGCCCAGACUCAUACGGGAGGCAGCAGUGGGGAAUUUUGGACAAUGGGGGCAAGCCUGAUCCAGCAAUGCCGAGUGCAGGAAGAAGGCCUUCGGGUUGUAAACUGCUUUUGUACGGAACGAAACGGUCUGGGUUAAUACCCUGGGCUAAUGACGGUACCGUAAGAAUAAGCACCGGCUAACUACGUGCCAGCCGCCGCCGUAAGAC
rnacentral:rRNA from 1 species